rnacentral:rRNA from 1 species
GACGAACGCUGGCGGCGUGCCUAACACAUGCAAGUCGAACGGAGAUAUGAUUUCGGUUGUAUCUUAGUGGCGAACGGUGAGUAACGCGUGAACAACCUGACUCUAAGAGGGGGAUAACACUCGGAAACGGGUGCUAAUACCGCAUAAGACCACGACCUGGCAUCAGGAUGAGGUCAAAGGAGCAAUCCGCUGAGAGAGGGGUUCGCGUCCCAUUAGAUAGAUGGCGGGGUAACGGCCCACCAUGUCAACGAUGGGUAGCCGAGCUGAGAGGCUGAUCGGCCACACUGGAACUGAGACACGGUCCAGACUCCUACGGGAGGCAGCAGUGGGGAAUAUUGGGCAAUGGGCGCAAGCCUGACCCAGCAACGCCGCGUGAGGGAAGAAGGCUUUCGGGUUGUAAACCUCUGUCCUUGGUGACGAAACAAAUGACGGUAGCCAAGGAGGAAGCCCCGGCUAAACUACGUGCCAGCAGCCGCGGUAU